GAAGGGGGCUAGCGUUGCUCGGAAUUACUGGGCGUAAAGCGCACGUAGGCGGCUUUCUAAGUCGGGGGUGAAAUCCUGGAGCUCAACUCCAGAACUGCCUUCGAUACUGGAAAGCUCGAGUCCGGGAGAGGUGAGUGGAACUGCGAGUGUAGAGGUGAAAUUCGUAGAUAUUCGCAAGAACACCAGUGGCGAAGGCGGCUCACUGGCCCGGUACUGACGCUGAGGUGCGAAAGCGUGGGGAGCAAGCAGGAUUAGAUACCCUGGUAGUCCACGCCGUAAACGAUGGAUGCUAGCCGUUGGCGAGCUUGCUCGUCAGUGGCGCAGCUAACGCUUUAAGCAUCCCGCCUGGGGAGUACGGUCGCAAGAUU
rnacentral:rRNA from 1 species